UACGGGGGGAGCAAGCGUUGUUCGGAUUUACUGGGCGUAAAGGGCGCGUAGGCGGUCAGCACAAGUCAGUUGUGAAAUCUCCGGGCUUAACUCGGAACGGUCAACUGAUACUGCGCGGCUAGAGUGCAGAAGGGGCAACUGGAAUUCUCGGUGUAGCGGUGAAAUGCGUAGAUAUCGAGAGGAACACCUGCGGCGAAGGCGGGUUGCUGGGCUGACACUGACGCUGAUGCGCGAAAGCCAGGGAGCGAACGGG
rnacentral:rRNA from 1 species